GCUCGCAUAGCUCAGCUGGAUAGAGCGGUUCGUUUGUAUCGUGGCGAUGGGCGCUCAGGCCGUAGGUUCAAAUCCUGCUGCGAGCCUGCCA
rnacentral:tRNA from 1 species